rnacentral:rRNA from 1 species
UCCAACUUGAGAGUUUGAUCCUGGCUCAGAGCGAACGCUGGCGGCAGGCUUAACACAUGCAAGUCGAGCGGGCAUAGCAAUAUGUCAGCGGCAGACGGGUGAGUAACGCGUGGGAACGUACCUUUUGGUUCGGAACAACACAGGGAAACUUGUGCUAAUACCGGAUAAGCCCUUACGGGGAAAGAUUUAUCGCCGAAAGAUCGGCCCGCGUCUGAU